GCGAGUGCACUGAAUCCAAUUGUAAGAAGUCGGCCGUAGACAUGCCUCUGGGUAAUGACUUCACUUGUGAUCUAUUCCGAAGAAUCUGCGUGUUUUCAAUUUGUGCACACUUGAGUUUAGCGGAAAAUAAAAACGGCCAUGGCAAAGGCCACGAUAUUAAAUCCAGAAAAGGAGCAGAGGAACGGAAUCUCACGGUUGAAGCGGAGAGACCUCACUAGACGUUGUGGAAUAUGUUCGACCCGGAGCUGCACAUGCACAAGGACAGGAUUGAAAAUCCAUUCUAAAACCACAGUGAGAUCUUGCGUUCACCCCCGGACCCCGAAGACGAAGUUGAGCAGACUCGACCUUUGCCGAGCUGCGCCUAUUGCGCUUAUCUGGCCCUAUUUGAGGAUGCAUCAAGUGGUCCCCGAUGUUGUGCCCCUGGUAGCGACGGAUGCCAUUAAGAAAACCAUUGACCGCAUUUCACACUCCUGAAUAUGAAUGGAAGUCACAAACAACAUUAGUAAAAUAGCACCUGGCAACGUCGAGGAUGAAUCGAUGUAUCGAUGGAUUAACACGUGCGUGGGCGCCAUCUUGCCCCCACUCCAAAAUGAUGAAAAUGUGUCCCCGCGCUAUUGGUUAACGAAAGCGACAGACCCGCGCCGCAAAGCGAUGCGCCCGCUUCACAUCGACUCUCCCCCACCAGGCCGCCAGUGAUGCCUCCCGCCUGCGAGAGGUAAACGAACAGGAACCCACAUGCCAUCAAAAAUCGUCUAGUACGCACCGUUUUCGAGAUAUCGAGUAAAAACCAGCGAGUAUCGAUAUUUUCCCUUUAAAUCUAUGGUAAAGUAUCGAAAUCAUCGACCAGCGACAUUCACAUACAAAUUUGUGGUAAGUAAUCGAAAUCAUCGACUAUCGUUACACACACCGAUCUCAUGUUGUCAAGUUUCAUCGGUAAUUAACUCCCUACCAACGCUGUUGCAUAACCUACAAGUUGAAGGGGCAUCAUACACCAUUGCAUAACUCGCAGAUGGGUCAUUCCACGUCAACGCAACCAAGGUCGGAACCCGACCCCCUCCGAUUUGGCUGAAAAUUGGUAUACGGGGUCUUUACAUCAUUCUAAGAAACUAAUUU
rnacentral:lncRNA from 1 species